GACGAACGCUGGCGGCGUGCUUAACACAUGCAAGUCGAACGGAAAGGCCCUGCUUUUGUGGGGUGCUCGAGUGGCGAACGGGUGAGUAACACGUGAGUAACCUGCCCUUGACUUUGGGAUAACUUUAGGAAACUGGGGCUAAUACCGGAUAGGAGCUCCUGCUGCAUGGUGGGGGUUGGAAAGUUUCGGCGGUUGGGGAUGGACUCGCGGCGUAUUAGCUUGUUGGUGGGGUAGUGGCUUACCAAGGCUUUGACGGGUAGCCGGCCUGAGAGGGUGACCGGCCCGCCUGGAACGGAGCAACGGGCCAGACUCCUACGGGAGUCAGCAGCAGGGAACCGUCUGCAACGGGCGAGAGCCUGACGGAACAACGCCGGGUGGGUGAUGACGGCAUCGGGAUCGUAAAGAUGGGUGAGUAGGGAAGAAAAAACGUGUACGUAACUAUGCAAGCAUGGACGGUACCGAAUAAGAAAGCAACGGCUAACUACUAC
rnacentral:rRNA from 1 species